rnacentral:rRNA from 1 species
UACGUAGGGGGCAAGCGUUGUCCGGAUUUAUUGGGCGUAAAGAGCUCGUAGGUGGUUCGGUAAGUCGGAUGUGAAAUCUCCAGGCUCAACCUGGAGGGGUCAUUCGAUACUGCCGUGACUAGAGGUCGGUAGGGGAGUGUGGAAUUCCUGGUGGAGCGGUGAAAUGCGCAGAUAUCAGGAGGAACACCGAUGGCGAAGGCAGGUCUCUGGGCCACUACUGACGCUGAGAAGCGAAAGCGUGGGGAGCGAACAGG